rnacentral:rRNA from 1 species
UACGUAGGGUGCGAGCGUUAAUCGGAAUUACUGGGCGUAAAGCGUGCGCAGGCGGUUUUGUAAGUCAGAUGUGAAAUCCCCGGGCUUAACCUGGGAAUGGCAUUUGGGACUGCAAGGCUGGAGUGUGGCAGAGGAGACUGGAAUUCCUGGUGUAGCAGUGAAAUGCGUAGAUAUCAGGAGGAAUACCGAUGGCGAAGGCAGGUCUCUGGGCUGAAACUGACGCUCAUGCACGAAAGCGUGGGGAGCAAACAGG